rnacentral:rRNA from 1 species
GACGAACGCUGGCGGCGUGCUUAACACAUGCAAGUCGAACGGAAAGGCCCUGCUUGCAGGGUACUCGAGUGGCGAACGGGUGAGUAACACGUGGGUGAUCUGCCCUGCACUUCGGGAUAAGCUUGGGAAACUGGGUCUAAUACCGGAUAGGAGCCAUCUUUAGUGUGGUGGUUGGAAAGUUUUUUCGGUGUAGGAUGAGCUCGCGGCCUAUCAGCUUGUUGGUGGGGUAAUGGCCUACCAAGGCGGCGACGGGUAGCCGGCCUGAGAGGGUGUACGGCCACAUUGGGACUGAGAUACGGCCCAGACUCCUACGGGAGGCAGCAGUGGGGAAUAUUGCACAAGGGGCGCAAGCCUGAUGCAGCGAAGCCGCGGGGGGGAUGAAGGCCUUCGGGUUGUAAACUCCUUUCGCUAGGGACGAAGCUUUUUGUGACGGUACCUAGAUAAGAAGCACCGGCUAACUACGUG